UUCCGUAGGUGAACCUGCGGAGGGAUCAUUACACAAAUAUGAAGGCGGGCUGGAACCUCUCGGGGUUACAGCCUUGCUGAAUUAUUCACCCUUGUCUUUUGCGUACUUCUUGUUUCCUUGGUGGGUUCGCCCACCACUAGGACAAACAUAAACCUUUUGUAAUUGCAAUCAGCGUCAGUAACAAAUUAAUAAUUACAACUUUCAACAACGGAUCUCUUGGUUCUGGCAUCGAUGAAGAACGCAGCGAAAUGCGAUAAGUAGUGUGAAUUGCAGAAUUCAGUGAAUCAUCGAAUCUUUGAACGCACAUUGCGCCCUUUGGUAUUCCAAAGGGCAUGCCUGUUCGAGCGUCAUUUGUACCCUCAAGCUUUGCUUGGUGUUGGGCGUCUUGUCUCUAGCUUUGCUGGAGACUCGCCUUAAAGUAAUUGGCAGCCGGCCUACUGGUUUCGGAGCGCAGCACAAGUCGCACUCUCUAUCAGCAAAGGUCUAGCAUCCAUUAAGCCUUUUUUUCAACUUUUGACCUCGGAUCAGGUAGGGAUACCCGCUGAACUUAAGCUUUCAAUAAGCGGAGGA
rnacentral:rRNA from 1 species